CUACGGGCGGCUCCAGUGAGGAAUAUUGCACAAUGGGGGGAACCCUGAUGCAGCAACGCCGCGUGGAGGAUGACGCAUUUCGGUGUGUAAACUCCUUUUAUAUGUCAAGAAAAUGACGGUAGCAUAUGAAUAAGCGCCGGCUAACUCCGUGCCAGCAGCCGCGGUAAUACGGAGGGCGCAAGCGUUACUCGGAAUCACUGGGCGUAAAGGACGCGUAGGCGGGUUGAAAAGUCAGGUGUGAAAUCCUACAGCUUAACUGUAGAACUGCACUUGAAACUUCUAAUCUAGAGUAUGGGAGGGGGAGAUGGAAUUAGUGGUGUAGGGGUAAAAUCCGUAGAUAUCACUAGGAAUACCUAAAGCGAAGGCGAUCUCCUGGAACAUUACUGACGCUAAGGCGUGAAAGCGUGGGGAGCAAACAGGAUUAGAUACCCCCGUAGUC
rnacentral:rRNA from 1 species